GCUGGGCGUGGUGGUGCAUACCUGUAGUCCUAGCUACUCAGGAGGCUGAGGCAGGAGGAUCACUUGAACCCAGGAGAUUGAGGCUGCAGUGAGCUAUGAUCAUGCCACUGCACUCUAGCCUGGGCAACAGAGUGAGACCCUGUCUCAA
rnacentral:SRP_RNA from 1 species